rnacentral:ncRNA from 1 species
GACCCGCGCCGAAUUGGCGGCGCGGAAGAGCUAGUGGAGCUGUGAGC